rnacentral:lncRNA from 1 species
CACUUUCCUCCCAAGAACUCUUUACCCACUGAACUUGGUAUAGACAAGCUAACAGUUACCCUAGCAUGGACAAGCGAGUUUACUAGAAAGCAACAUUUAGAGUCCUACUGUGUUCAUUUUAAUCUGUUUACUCUAAGACAGAGGACCAAUCUAUCUAAAGGAGUAAGACCAAAUGAAUUCAUGUUACAGAGGUCUCUAGUAUACAGUACACUGGAAAUGCUUUGUAAUAAAUGUAGAAGAGCAUAUUUGAAGUGCUUCACUUUUUCUUGUCUAUUGUUUGCUAUUAAUGUUAUAAUUGUCCAUCCAUUACACUAAUCCAACAUCUCUCUUGUAGGAAAUAUCCUAACUGCAAUGAGCUUGAAUUGCUGUCUUCCAGAUUAAAUCAGUUACUUUCCAGGACAGAAGAAGACACACAGGAGUGAACACUACAGGGGGAGAGCGUCUAGGUGGUUGCAGAGUUUAAACACAAUACAGGUCAAUGGAUAUAUGCUGAAUUAGUGAAAGAAUGAUCUAGCGGUGGCAGAGAGAUGGU